GACGAACGCUGGCGGCGUGCUUAACACAUGCAAGUCGAACGGAAAGGCCCUGCUUUUGUGGGGUGCUCGAGUGGCGAACGGGUGAGUAACCCGUGAGUAACCUGCCCUUGACUUUGGGAUAACUUCAGGAAACUGGGGCUAAUACCGGAUAGGAGCUCCUGCUGCAUGGUGGGGGUUGGACAGCUUCGGCGGGUUGGGAUGGAGUCGCGGCUUAUCAGCUUGUUGGUUGAGGAGUGGCUUACCAAGGCUUUGACGGGUAGCCGGCCUGGGAGGGUGAUCGGCCACAUGGGGACUGAGAUACGCCCCAGACUCCUACGUGAGGCAGCAGUGGGGAAUAUUGCACAAUGGUCGGAAGCCUGAUGCAGCAACGCCGCGUGCGUGAUGACGGCCUUCGUGGUGUAAACCGCUUUCGCUUGUGACGAAGCGUGAGUGACGGUAAUGGGUAAAGAAGCACCGGCUAACUACGUG
rnacentral:rRNA from 1 species